rnacentral:rRNA from 1 species
AUUGAACACUGGCGGCAUGCUUUACACAUGCAAGUCGAACGGCAGCGCGGGGGCAACCCUGGCGGCGAGUGGCGAACGGGUGAGUAAUGCAUCGGAACGUAUCCUGUAAUGGGGGAUAACGUAGCGAAAGUUACGCUAAUACCGCAUACGCUCGAGAGAGGAAAGUGGGGGAUCGCAAGACCUCACGUUAUAGGAGCGGCCGAUGUCCGAUUGGCUAGUUGGUGGGGUAAAGGCCUACCAAGGCGACGAUCGGUAGCUGGUCUGAGAGGAUGAUCAGCCACACUGGGACUGAGACACGGCCCAGACUCCUACGGGAGGCAGCAGUGGGGAAUUUUGGACAAUGGGCGAAAGCCUGAUCCAGCCAUGCCGCGUGCGGGAAGAAGGGCCCUUCGGGUUGUAA